rnacentral:rRNA from 1 species
CGGUAAUACGGAGGGUGCAAGCGUUAAUCGGAAUUACUGGGCGUAAAGCGUGCGUAGGCGGUUUAUUAAGUCAGAUGUGAAAGCCCCGGGCUUAACCUGGGAACUGCAUUUGAAACUGGUCAACUAGAGUAUGGUAGAGGAAAGUGGAAUUUCUGGUGUAGCGGUGAAAUGCGUAGAUAUCAGAAGGAACAUCAAUGGCGAAGGCAGCUUUCUGGACCAAUACUGACGCUGAGGUACGAAAGCGUGGGUAGCAAACAGGAUUAGAUACCCUGGUAGUCCACGCCGUAAACGAUGAUAACUAGCCGUUGGGGGGAUUUACCCUUUAGUGGCGAAGCUAACGCGUUAAGUUAUCCGCCUGGGGAGUACGGCCGCAAGGCUAAAACUCAAAGGAAUUGACGGGGACCCGCACAAGCGGUGGAGCAUGUGGUUUAAUUCGAUGCAACGCGAAGAACCUUACCUGGUCUUGACAUCCUGCGAACUUUCUAGAAAUAGAUUGGUGCCUUCGGGAACGCAGUGACAGGUGCUGCAUGGCUGUCGUCAGCUCGUGUCGUGAGAUGUUGGGUUAAGUCCCGUAACGAGCGCAACCCCUAUCCUUAUUUGCCAGCACAUUAUGGUGGGAACUAUAAGGAGACUGCCGGUGAUAAACCGGAGGAAGGCGGGGACGACGUCAAGUCAUCAUGGCCCUUUCGUGCAGGGCUACACACGUGUUCCAAUGGGAAGGACAAAGAGCCAAGAAGCCGCGAGGUGGAGAUAAUCUCAUAAAUCUUUAUUUAGUCCGGGCGGGAGUGUGCUACUCGACUCCAAGAAGUGGGAAUCGCUAGUAAUCGUAGAUCAGAAUGCUACGGUGAAUACGUUCCCGGG